rnacentral:lncRNA from 12 species
AGAGAGAAGCUCCUGGCAGUAUUAACAGAGGAAUCAAAGACGUGCAGAAAUGUGGCUCUUCCACUUCUGAAAGGCUGAAGGACUGACUCCAGAUCAGGUGUCACAUUCCUGACUGUGACUUUGUUCUGUCACAUGACUCUCAUGUGACUCCAUCACACCUGUGCAUCACAGACUACAAUCACAGCUUGUGAUGCCAGUUUCUCAAAAGGGCAUCUGAUGUGUUUUAUAAUCAAACAUCACCUGCAAAACCCAAACCUAAUGCAGCUCCUCAAUGUAUUUUAGUCAGAAAGCUUAAUAAAAUCAUAACAGCAGUAAUAAAACACACAUCAGUAACUCACCAGCAGGUCAAAAUCAUCAAUUAGUUCUCAACCAGGAGCUUAAGUUGGCAUCAGAAGAGCACAUCUAUGUCUUUAAUCCCAUCUAACUUCCACAAAAACAUGAAGUCAAUCCGAAUUAAGGCGCAUUUGAACUGAAAACUGCCGCGUUGUGUAUCAGACGCGCUCUGUGCUGACAGUGAGCAGGUGAAGGGGGCGGGGCUUAGCGAGGAUUGCGUGUGCGGGCUGUCAAUCAAAUGAAACCCCGCCUCUGAAACCAAUAGCAACCGGCUUUGAUGCCGGAUGUUUGGAUACAGUUCACGCUGUUUAGUCGGAAUAAAGGUUUUUUUUUUCUAUAAAACAACGCCAUAAAGCUCUUAAUCAGAGCUGCAGACAUGACUUCAAAGAGACCCAAGAGCAAAGAGGCCCAUAAAAUAAAGAGAAAAGAUAAAAAAAAGGAGAAUAAUUUUCCCACCGCAGAUGAAGGUGCAUCAGAACCUUGUAAGUGUCUCAUAUUGCUCCUGUAAGGUCACAUUUAGCGUUUUUUAAUUUUAAUUUUUUAUUUUAUUGUCUCUGGAGACCACUUACAAUGUCAAAGUCAUAAUCAGAUUCUCAGAUCUGUUUGGAGC